rnacentral:snoRNA from 1 species
GCUCUGCAGUUUCCUUCCCUAUCAGAUCUGAACUCGGUUUGGGUGGUGACAAGAGAAGGAAAAACACCACUGAAACAGCUUCAGCGCUUUUUGCUGCACCUGGGCUAGUUUCAAACAAGU